ensembl:snoRNA
GCAUCUGUCAUGAUGACUUCAGACUUUUCCCCACCAGAUUGGCAAUGCUGAUGCAAACUUCUGUUGUAGCCAGAUUGACUGAUUCCACAGAUGC